GCCAGGUGCAUUGGCAUACAUCUGUAACCCCAGCUGCUUGGGAGGCUGAGGCAGGAGGAUCACAAGUUCAAAGCCAGCUUCAGCAAAAGCAAGGUGCUAAGCAACUCAGUGAGAUCCUGUCUCUA
rnacentral:sRNA from 1 species